AUGUGUCCUGCGGUGUCGGUCUACCGAUUGCGGUACGACAGGCACGUCUGCGGGGCUUCUCGCCGGUGCGUCCACCGCCGGCGUGCGUCGGUCGGCCUCGCGGUCGGCCGCGCACCGAGGCGGGCCGUCGCGGCUGUUUACUUUGAACAAAUUAGAGUGCUCAAAGCGGGCUAACACUUGCCUGAAUAUUGUACGCAUGGAAUAAUAGAAUAGGACCUCGGUUCUGUUUUGUUGGCUUUCUGAUACCAGAGGUAAUGAUUAAUAGGGACAACUGGGGGCAUUCGUAUUGCGACGUUAGAGGUGAAAUUCUUGGAUCGUCGCAAGACGGACUAAAGCGAAAGCAUUUGCCAAAGGUGUUUUCAUUAAUCAAGAACGAAAGUUAGAGGUUCGAAGGCGAUUAGAUACCGCUGUAGUUCUAACCAUAAAUGAUGCCAGCCAGCGAUCCGCCGAAGUUUCAUAAUUUUAACCCGGUGGGCAGCUCCCGGGAAACCAAAGCUUUC
rnacentral:rRNA from 1 species